CUUUUGGUGCAUUAGCAUUUGUCUUCCCUUUCUUUUCCUCUUUCCUUUUGAAGGAAGGGAUUAUUUGUUACAAGUUACUAAACUAUUAUGUAUUUGAAUAUUAUGUAUAGGUUUUUUUGUGAUUUUAGGACUAAAAUAUAGGAUUAGCUUGAAUAAUAACUUUUAACUAGCCCGUGCCUGGAUAUUUAUGCUUACAAAGUGUUGGCUAUGGAGUGCAUUACAAUUUGUGGAUGUGACAGCCUUGUCAUGGUUCUGCCCCAGACAGCAACUGAGUGGCGCUUCUUCCCCCGGGGUAGGUUGGGAAGUAGAAUCAGAAAGAGAUAGAUAAAACUUGUGGUUUGGGAUAAAGGCAGUUUAGUACAACAGCAAAGGAAGAAGAAAAAAAAGAAAACAAUAGUAAUAAUAAUAAUAAAGUUACAAUAAAAGAAUAUACAAAGUGAGUAAUGCACAGUGCAAUUUUGCUUUCUCUUUCUCCAGGCUCUCCAGGAACUGGAACGUAGCCUUCCAACGCAGAUAGCAGCCAUCCUGGAGGCUCCCCAUGACACAGCUGAUCUUCUCAGUCCCCUUGGAGCUGCUUGACAGUGGCCUGGAUGUGCUUCAGCAGCUCCUCACCCUGCUGCAGGGAGGAAGAUGACAAGGCCGUGACAUGCCAGGGGAGGCUGACUGCCAAAGGUUACUUGGCCAGUGCCCACAGGCUAUCGAUGACUGUAGGGCAUUUGCCCCAAGGCUUUAAUUUCCUUCCAUGCUGCUGACUUGAACAAGCCAACCUAGGGGGUAGCGAGGGGCUCCCCCAUGUUACAGCAAAGCACAACCAGCCUUGGGUCCUGGCAGCUGCUUCCCAAGCCCACCAUGCUGGCAUCUCUCUACCUGGUUCCUUGCCACCUUGGCCGCUGCCUGCUGAGACAUGAAGGAGUCCCUCUGCUACUGGAGCAGCUGCAGGAAUGGGAAAAGGAAUGGGCUCUGAGAUGGGAUGGAUGCAGCCAACAAGCCUAGGAGCCACAGAGGCUUGACUGCCCCAUCCAGCCCCUGGAUAUGUCUGGGAACUCCUCCAGGACCACCCCACCGAGCCAGCCGGCAGUGGGAGCGCUGCCCCCAGACUUCAGCUGUGCCUGCAACUGGUCAACUAUCUUGGCUACCAACUGCUCCAGUGUGGCCUUGAUUGUCUUCCACUGCUCUCCCAGCUCCUUCAAUUCCUGCAGUGUGGAAGUGGCAUAGGCAGGCUUAGCCUCCAUGGGGUUGCUGGGAGGGUGUCCCUCACUCCCCAAAGAGGGAUGUUCCCAGCCUCCCUGUGCUCCCUUGCAGCCCCACAGUGUAGGAAGCCCUCACCUGUCCUUUUACCCCAGUUGCAGGGUGAUCUGAAGCCAAUCCCAGGGGCAAAGAGACGCUGCCAACCCCUCAAUGACAGUGCGGCCCUGGAGGGCAGCGAUAACCACCACUGCCAAAGCGGGGAGUGACUCAACAGGGGCCUGCCCCAAGGCGAGUGAGCCUUUACCCCAGCUGCCAGAUUAAGUCCUAGUUGGGCUUUGGUCCUCCCAAUUUUAUCCCUGCAUAACCUUAAACCACCUUUGUAGCCCUCCUGAGUUGCUGGCCACUUCUUCCAAAAGCCAUAAACUCUCCUUUUUUCCUUGACCUCCAGACAGAGCUCUCUUUUCAGCCAGGCUGGUCUCUUUGCCACCAGCUUGUCUUGUGGUGCAUGGAGACAUCCUGCUCUUGUGCCUUUCAGAAUUCCUUUGUGAAGUGUCCAGCCUCCCUGGACUCCAGUUCCCUUCAGGGCUGCCUUCCACAGGGCCCUGGGAACCAGGCUCCUAAACAGGCCAAAGUCUGCCCUUUGGCAGCCCGAGGUGGCUGUUCAGCUGAUCCCCUCUUCAUGGCUCCAAAAUGAAAACCUCUGUCCUUUCAUGACUGGUGUGCCCAAGACAGCCUCCAACAAUUCCAUCACCAGUGGGCACCAGUCCUUUUCUGUUCUGAACCACAGGUCCGGUGGGCACCUUCCCUGCUCAGCUCUCUCACUAGCUCUGUCAGGAAGUUCUCCUCCACACACUCCAGGAACCUCCCGGACUGUUUCUCCUCUGCUGCAUUGUACCUCCAGCAGACAUCUGUUGCUAAUGUCCAGCCUUGAACACUUUCCUGUCUCACUGACUUGGUAUUUCUUGACGGAGACCAGCUCACAGGGACGCCUAAAUCGACAGACGGACUACCGCUCUGGUGGCAAGUAGCAACAU